UACAGAGGGUGCAAGCGUUAAUCGGAGUUACUGGGCGUAAAGGGCGCGUAGGCCGAUAUUUAAGUCGAUUGUGAAAUCCCUGGGCUUAACCUAGGAAUUGCAGUCGAUACUGAAUGUCUUGAGUAUGGUAGAGGAAAGUGGAAUUCUCGGUGUAGUGGUUAAAUACGUAGAUAUCGAGAAGAACACCAGUGGCGAAGGCGACUUUCUGGACCAAUACUGACGCUGAGGCGCGAAAGCGCGGGGAGCAAACAGG
rnacentral:rRNA from 1 species